rnacentral:misc_RNA from 1 species
AAGUCGUAACAAGGUAUCCGUAGGUGAACCUGCGGAUGGAUCAUUAAAAAAUCCAACUGGGAAAGGGAAAAGCAAUUUUCCUGGACCUUAAUACCUGUGAACUGGGAAUUGCAAAAUUCCGUCUUGUACUAUUGUAAUUAUUUUUCUUUAAAUUUUGGAAUUUGAAUUGCUUUUUUUUAAGCGAUUUGAAGGACAAAUUAAAUUAAAGACAACUUUCAGCAAUGGAUCUCUUGGCUCUU